rnacentral:rRNA from 1 species
UGGGAUACCCGCUGAACUUAAGCAUAUCAAUAAGCGGAGGAAAAGAAACCAACAGGGAUUGCCUCAGUAACGGCGAGUGAAGCGGCAACAGCUCAAAUUUGAAAUCUGGCUCCUUGCGGGGUCCGAGUUGUACUUUGCAGAGGGUGGUUCGGCAACGGCGCCUGUCUAAGUUCCUUGGAACGGGACGUCAGAGAGGGUGAGAACCCCGUACGCGGCAGGUGCCUGCGCCAUGUGAACCCCCUUCGACGAGUCGAGUUGUUUGGGAAUGCAGCUCUAAAUGGGAGGUAUAUUUCUUCUAAAGCUAAAUACUGGCCAGAGACCGAUAGCGCACAAGUAGAGUGAUCGAAAGAUGAAAAGCACUUUGGAAAGAGAGUCAAACAGCACGUGAAA